rnacentral:rRNA from 1 species
AACGAACGCUGGCGGCAGGCUUAACACAUGCAAGUCGAACGCGUGCAGCAAUGCACGAGUGGCGCACGGGUGAGUAACGCGUGGAUAUCUGCCUUUUGGUUCGGAAUAACCCCGGGAAACUGGGGCUAAUACCGGAUGGUUCCUACGGGAUAAAGAUUUAUCGCCAAAAGAUGAGUCCGCGUCCGAUUAGCUAGUUGGUGAGGUAAUGGCUCACCAAGGCGACGAUCGGUAGCUGGUCUGAGAGGACGAUCAGCCACACUGGGACUGAGACACGGCCCAGACUCCUACGGGAGGCAGCAGUGGGGAAUAUUGGACAAUGGGGGCAACCCUGAUCCAGCCAUGCCGCGUGAGUGAUGAAGGCCUUCGGGUUGUAAAGCUCUUUUGGCGGGGACGAUGAUGACGGUACCCGCAGAAUAAGCCCCGGCUAACUUCAUG